CGACGGCAACGAAUUAGAACGUGCGUGUAUGUGUAUGCGAGAGCAUCCGUCGUGCCGCGCGCACUCAACGAAUCCGCGAAGUUGUUGACCGAACCUUCUCUGUUAUUUCCGUCGAUCAAAGUGCCGACAUAUACAGUGAGAAAGAGAGAGAGAGUGAGAGAGAGAGAAGUAGAAGGAGAAAGAGAAAUAAAGAAAGAGAUAGAGAUAGAGAUAGAGAGAAAGAGAUAGAAAGAGAAAGAGAAAGAGAGAGAGAAAGAGAGAAGAAGUUUCUAAGUGCGUUAUCCUCUGUCCUGAAAAUCGAUUUCUUUUUCAUAAACGCAUAUACGUGAGUUCCAACAAUAUCGAUAAUUAUUAAACGUCGUUAGUUGGUGUACUUGUUGUGUGUUUGCGUGGGUGUUUCUACGGGCACCAUUUACGAACGUCUUAACUGUGUGUAUAUCCUCACGUUCUUCUCCCAUCAAUAUUACACUGUGUGUGAAAUAAUAUAAAGACGAUCUACUUUUAGAGAGACAGAAAGGGAAAUAUAUAAGAGCGGG